CAGAACUCUCUGCAGAGUGACUAAGAGCUGCCAGCAGUGCUGCCUCGUGUCCUCUUCUCAUCUGAGACUGAGCAGAUGCAGCUUUAUAAACAAGAUGGAGAGAGAAGCCAGGAUUCCACUGUGAGACAGAGCAAGCCACCUCUGACCAGGUGGUCUUCCCAUCAUAUCUAUGGACACUGGGCAGACAGCAUGAAACGCUAAUGGGCAAAAGCACCACAGAUGCUUCCUGAAACCAGGGCAGUGCUGAAAGUCAACAGAAUGGGCGUCCUGGUUAGGAACUGAAACAUCUCUAAAAAGGAGCAAAUGAAGACAGUUUCAUCAAGACCAGCACUCUAGGGAAGGAGAGCCUUACCAUAUCAGUGAAAGAAGGAAUCAGGAAAUUAUCAGCUAGCAGCUGAAAUAGAACUGUUGUCUGUCGGUCCCUAAAAUGCAACUAAAAGUCUCCUAUGAACACCAUCACCCAUUGUCUCUUUUUAUACCCCUCAAGUUUCUUGUUA
rnacentral:lncRNA from 1 species